CUGCCGGCUCUGGGAGGAAACGGGAACCAGCUCCCAACCUUGGGGUCUGCAGCCGGGGACCAAUGGUUUUCUCAAUAAUUUUCCUGCUUUUGAGUACAUAAUUCUAUGCAGAUGAUAAGCAGAUGAGUCGGGGAGGGGGGCAUUUCCCAGCUAACAAAGAGCUUUGUUAACGCUGGAGCCGUGUGCCCUUAAUCAUGUUUCGUUUUUUAGAAAGAGCCUUUUAUAGUGUGGGCGGAGCUAACUGAACCCUAGUUAAAAUCCUCUACAAAGUAGUUGAAUAAUUUUGCACAAGGCACUUACCCUCUUUGGACCUCUGGCCCUUUUUAUAACAUGAAGGGCUAGAUUCGGGUUCUGGGUGAGGGACUGGGAUAAAGGAACAAAUCAGAUUCCAUGUGAAGCCUGUGUACAGUCUGAGGCCCCAAGCCUUUUAAGAACCACUAUGUCUACUAGGGUUAACUGCCCUCUAAAUUGUCCUAAUAUGGCUUCUUAUUCCUUGAUGGAGAAUCCUAGAGGAAGGGUGUACCCACACUUUAGCUUAAAUAAAAAGGUAUUUAUUCCUAAAACUGACGGAGGGCGGGGAGGGAGCAUGACCAAGUCUCCCUCUGUCGCCCAGGCUGGAGUGCAGGGCGUGAUCUCAGCUCACUGCAACCUCCGCCUCCCAGGUUCAAGCAAUUCUCCUGCCUCAGCCUCCCGAGAAGCUGGGAUUACAGGCGCCCACCACCACGCCCGGCUAGUUUUUGUAUUUUUAGUAGAGACGGGGUUUCGCCCUGUUGGUCAGGCUGGUCUCGAACUCCUGGGUUCAACCGAUCCUCCUGCCUCGGCCUCUCAAAGUGCCGGGUUUACAGGCGUGAGCCACCCCUCCUGGCCCUAACAUUUUUAUACAAGUUUGCCAUCUCCGUACCACCACCACCACCACACACAGCACCCUCAAGACUCCCUGUGAUCCUGGGAUGCACUCAACGAAGAGUGUGUGGCCCAGGAUUUGAUGGAAAUGCUACAAGAGAAGCAGGCUCUCCCCUUCUGAAAUGAUGAGUGAUAAUGACCAUACAGGUCAACUUUUCCACCACUUGGAGGGAGCCUGUCAAAGAACAAAGGCAACAGAGAAGAGAGCAGAGCUGAGGUUGGGUGAGAGGGAGAAAUUCCUGAGUGCUUGAAUCCCACAUGCCGGAAGCCGCACCACACUUGGACUUCUCAAUACAGGAGCCACUCUGCAGGCAUUUAUUGGCAGGCUACACCUAAGACUUUCUCUGCAGAAAAAUGUUCUAGAUGCACAGAUUUGGGGGCUUGAUUGACAACCUGACACCUCACUCUAAAUCCGCAUGGGUCUGUUGACCUCAGCUGAGAAACCAAGUCAUGCUGAAGACCUGGAAAUCCCAGCAGGCUGCAAACCAGCUGCAACUACAAUGGGUCAGCCCUUUUGAGAUGCUGCUGACUACCCACUUAUCUGCCAAGUUAGCCAGUGUUAAGCCAUGGAUUCACCACGCUCAGAUAAAACCUGCCCCUCUGGGAUCCCUCCAGAAAAAAACAGGCAUGCUGUUGUGAACCCUAAGAUGGCCUUAAGUUAAUAUUCAAUGCCCAGCCAAAGACCCUAAAUAAGAAGUCAUAAAGGAAACAUGUGCUUUUCAGAGUCUCACUCUGUCACUCAGGCUGGAGUGCAGUGGUAUAAUCUCAGCUCACUGCAACCUCCACCUCUCAGGUUCAAGCAAUUCUCAUGCUUCAGCCUCCCAAGUAGCUAGGACUACAGGUGUGCACCACCAUGCCCAGGUAAUUUUUGUAUUUUUAAUAGAUACAGGGUUUCACCACGUUGCUCAGGCUGGUCUUGAACUCCUGACCUCAAGUGAGCCACAUCUGCCUCAGCCUCCCGGAGUGCUAGGAUUGCAGGUGUGAGCCACCACACCCAGCCAUGAAUCAGAAAUACUUUUUAAUAGGCUUAGGAUUGUUCUCUUGGAUUCCUUAAGGGAUCCACUUUAAUUCUUGGGUGUUUUUUUUUUUUUUAAUCAUGGUGCUCCAACAAGCGGGAUGCCAGUCAGGUAAUCCUGAGCACUUCAGAUUCAGGGGUGAUGUUUGCAUUUCCCAUCAUUAUCCCACAAUGCACCCCUUAGCAUUAAGUAGCCAAAAAGGCAGACAACCAUAUUCCCCAUGAUCGAAAAAUUGAUGAAUAGAAAAAAGGGGAUUAAAACCAGCCCAAUUGUCCCAUAGAAAUGAUAUUACGGUUUUUAAAAGAAACAUAAAAAUUAACCUUCCUGUUUUUAAAAUUUAAAACUUACAUUUAUCUCAUCUGAAUUCCUUCCUCAAAAAACAGACACUCAGGCAAAAACAAAAACCUAAAACUCAUCAGAUCACUGUAUCCAGACAGAGACGCCAGACCCCUCAUCCAUCAUGAUUGCUUCUAUACUCCUCCUUAAUUCCUAUUUUCCCACCUUUCCUGCUAUACAAAACCCCCAAUUUUAGUCGGUCAGACAAACACAUUUGAGACUUUAUCUCCUGUUCUCCUUGGCUGCAACACCCCGUUAAAGUUUUCUUCCCUGGCAAUAGUUACUGUCUCAGUGAUUGGCAUUCUGUGUAACAAGCAGCAGAACCUAGACUGGAACCCUGGUGUUUCAGUAACAUUACCUUGUAGUAAAUGCUGUUGUGUCAUGCCCAGAUUCACUUUACCAAGCCCAGAUCCCACAGAUUAAAGGGCUCAGCUCCACAAGACUUCAGACACCAGCCACAAAUGGGGUCCCCAGGUGACCCACACUUCUGCCCAGUGGACUAUAAAUUCAAGGGUUCUGUGACUUUCCCUACCCAGCUUUGAUAAUUCACUAGAAUCCUCACAGAACUCAGGAAAAUGCCAUACCUACUAUUACACUUUAUUAUGAUGGACACACACGAGCAGCCAGAUGGAGGGGUACUGAGGAAGCAUCUGAAUGCAGGAGGCUCUGUCCCUGGAGAGUUGGGAUGAGCCACUCUCCUGGAUGUGUUCACCAACUCAGAAGCUCUCCAAGCCCCAUUGUGUAGGGAUUUUUUAUGGCAGUUUCAGUAAGUACACAUGAUUGAUUAAAUCAUUGGCCAUUGGUGAUUGAACUCAAUCUCUAGCCCCUCUCCUGCUCUCAGAGGUGGAAGAGCAAGGCUGGAAGUUCUAACCUUCUCAGUACAUGGUUGGUUUUUCCUGUGUCCAGGUCCCAUCCUAAAGCUACCUAGGCCCCCUCUGCCCAACAAGAGUCUUCUCAUUAGCAAAAGAGUAAUUUCCAAGGGUGUUAGGAGCUCUAUGCUGGGAACCAGGGACCAAGAGUAAAUAUAUAUUUUGUAUUUUACCACAGGUACCAAUCACCCUCCAGAUCUAAGAAUGGCUUCAGGCUGGGGCUGCAGUCACCUCUUUGCCCAGCUUCUCCCCUGCCCUAUUCUGCUUCACUUGCAUCCUUAAAGGUUCCACCCAAGAGCUCUUCUACAAGAAAGCACCUAUAAAGCCAGACACAUUGGCUUAUGCCUAUAAUCCUAGCACUUUGGGAGGCCAAGGUAGGAGGAUGGCUUGAGGCCAGGAGUUCAAGACCAGCCUGGGCAACUUAGUGAGGCCCCGUCUCUAUAAAAAAUAAAAAAAUUAACCAGGUGUGGUGGUGCACGUCUCUAGUCUCAGCUACUCAGGAGGCUGUGGCAGGAAGAUGGCUUGAGCCCAGGAGGUUGAGGCUGCAGUGAACUAAGAUCAUGCCACUGCACCCAUCUUGGGCAACAGAAUGAGAUCCUGUCUCUAAAAAAAUAAAAACAAUUUACAACAGUAAGCACCUGUACACAAGCCCCAUCUCCAGUCCUGUUUCUAGGGCUUCCAAUUUAACACACCUAGAGGCUGGGCAUAGUAGCUCAUGCCUGUAAUCCCAAUACUUUGGGAGGCUGAGGCAAGUGAAGCACUUGAGGUCAGGAGUUCGAGACCAGCCUGGCCAACAUGGCAAAACCCCAUCUCUACUAAAAAUGCAAACAUUAGCUGGGCAUGGUGGCACAUGCCUGUAAUCCCAGCUACUCGGGAGGCUGAGACAGGAGAAUCACUUGAACCCAGGAGGUGGAGGUUACAGUGAGCCAAGAUCACACCACUGUACCACAGCCUGAGCAACGAAAGAAGACUCUGUCUAAAAAAAGUAAAAAAUAAAAUAAAACACACCUGGAGCUUUCUACAUCCCGUAGGUAUCUGUGUUUCUUUCUCGUGCCCUAUUUGACAGAGUUUCUUGAGCUCGAAUCUAUGUCUACUUUAUCUUAGCCUUCCUGUAACACCUGUCUCAAUGUCUUGCACAUAUAGAAUGCUCAGUAGAGUUUUUGGAAUAAGUAUUUCAUAUUUUGGAAUCAUUUACAGAGCAGGGGUUAAAUUCCUGGCUUAUUUUCUCUAGUUCUUAUUCUGCACCCCCUGCCCUGCAAACCUGCCACAUAAGCAGGUCAUUUCUCCACCCCUCAAGAUGAGGGCAAACAACUUCAGAAACUGCUCACAAACAGGCCCCUGUGGAAAUACCUCCAGGCCACUGGCAUUCCUGCCUGCUGCCAGAGACCUGGGAGGCUGUUCACUGCCUUGAGUAUUUUUGUUCUUUCCAACUUCUCUGCCCCAUCAAGUUAAACAGUCCUUAAGAGUAAAUAAAUGUGGC
rnacentral:lncRNA from 1 species